UACGUAGGGGGCAAGCGUUAUCCGGAAUUACUGGGUGUAAAGGGUACGUAGGCGGCCCAUUAAGUCAGAUGUGAAAGCCCGGAGCUCAACUCCGGGAUUGCAUUUGAAACUGGUGGGCUAGAGUACAGGAGAGGAAAGUGGAAUUCCUAGUGUAGCGGUGAAAUGCGUAGAUAUUAGGAAGAACACCAGUGGCGAAGGCGGCUUUCUGGACUGUAACUGACGCUGAGGUACGAAAGCGUGGGGAG
rnacentral:rRNA from 1 species